rnacentral:rRNA from 1 species
AUGCACGCUGGCGGCGUGCCUCAUACAUGCCAGUCGCGCGAACAGACGAGGAGCUUGCUCCUCUGACGUUAGCGGCGGACGGGUGAGUAACACGUGGAUAACCUACCUAUAAGACUGGGAUAACUUCGGGAAACCGGAGUUAAUACCGGAUAAUAUAUUGAACCGCAUGGUUCAAUAGUGAAAGACGGUUUUGCUGUCACUUAUAGAUGGAUCCGCGCCGCAUUAGCUAGUUGGUAAGGUAACGGCUUACCAAGGCAACGAUGCGUAGCCGACCUGAGAGGGUGAUCGGCCACACUGGAACUGAGACACGGUCCAGACUCCUACGGGAGGCAGCAGUAGGGAAUCUUCCGCAAUGGGCGAAAGCCUGACGGAGCAACGCCGCGUGAGUGAUGAAGGUCUUCGGAUCGUAAAACUCUGUUAUUAGGGAAGAACAAAUGUGUAAGUAACUAUGCACGUCUUGACGGUACCUAAUCAGAAAGCCACGGCUAACUACGUG